rnacentral:piRNA from 1 species
UACAUCAAGUUAUUUAUUCUCAAUGUGAGU